rnacentral:rRNA from 1 species
UACGGGGGGGGCAAGCGUUGUUCGGAAUUACUGGGCGUAAAGGGCUCGUAGGCGGCCAACUAAGUCGGAUGUGAAAUCCCCAGGCUUAACCUGGGAACUGCAUCCGAUACUGGAUGGCUUGAAUCCGGGAGAGGGAUGCGGAAUUCCAGGUGUAGCGGUGAAAUGCGUAGAUAUCUGGAGGAACACCGGUGGCGAAGGCAGCAAACUGGUCAUCAACUGACGCUGAGGCGCGAAAGCGUGGGUAGCAAACAGG